GGUGCGUGUCGGGGAUGCGGCCGCGCAGGCGCUCGCUCCCUGGCUUCCUGGCCGGGUAGCGGGCGUUCGGCUACCGGAGUCCAGCCUAAGGGCCCAGCCGAGGUCUCCCCGCGCGAGGCGGUUGCGCUAGGUGAGCGGGUACCGCGGCCGCGCCUCCCUUGUCAUUUACUCAGCGGUCAGAGGCAUCCUGCGUCUGGGAGUCCCAAGUGCCUUCGGCUGGGUGCCCCUGUCCGAUCCUCAAAAGGAAAGCACAAAUCCCGGGUGCGAGUCUAACCCAGGACCGAACUUUCCCGCGAACCUGAAGUUACCAUGGGGCGGGAGCCACCUUAGCGCCGCGUCCGCCCGCCCCUCGCACCGGCUAGGAUGCUGCGGAAGGCAGGGGCGCCGAGAGGCAAGGGUGAAAGACGCCGUCCAUACCCCCAAAGCCCGAACCUGCAUCUCCUCUGCGAGGCGCAGGGCGGGAGGACCGCUGCAGUUGGGAGCCGGCUCCGGACAGGCAAAGCGACCCGACAGGUAACCUUCCACAGGCCCACACAUGUGUUAUCAGCCAUACCUUAGGACAGAAGGAAUGAGUUUGCAGAAAGGAUGACAACUCCAGGAAGGAAAUUGGUAGACUCAACGUCCAGGGAACCUACGAAUCUGCUAUCCCAAGCCUUCUGCCCCCAAACACUUCACCCUGAAAUACAGCCCAGAGCAUGCACUCAGUGAGUCCCACUGAAGAAGAGACGGAAGGCAGAACUGAACAAGAUGUGUCCAGAAGAGGUAGCCAUAGAUCAUGGACAUGACCAAAAGAAGCUUACUUUAUUUUCAACCCUACAACCAUACUGAGAAUUUAGCCCUGGGGACAUCUUCCGAUAUAAUCUGGCAUAGAAGAGUGGUUAUCACACCUUUAGCAUGGGACCCUUGAGACACCUUUGCUGUGAAUAAUGGAGAAGCAAAAGGAGUUACUAAUGAAGACAAACUAAACCUGAGAACAGAGAGAGCCUAACUAUGUGCUCCAGAAGUGCCAUGUGUGUCUAAGAUGAAGUUUCGCUCUUCUUGCCCAGGCUGGAGUGCAAUGGCACAAUCUCAGCUCACUGCAACCUCUGCCUCCUGGGUUCAAGCGAUUCUCCUGCCUCAGCCCCCUGAGUAGCUGGGAUUACAGCUGGGAUAUCUACCUUCUCCUGCCCUCAGACAUCAGAACUCUUGUUUCUCAGGCCUUCUGGCUCAGACUGAAUUACACAAGCUUUCCUGGAUCUCUGGCUUGCAGAUGACAUACCAUGGGACUUCACUGGCCUUCAUAUCUGCCCAAACUGGAAACAAUCCAGAUGUCCCUCAACACAUGAAUGGAUAAGCAGAUUUUGGCAUUUCUAUGCAAUGGAAAGCUACUUAUUAAUUAAAAGGAAUGAACUAUUGAUACAUGCACCAGCAUGGUUACAAGUUUGGGGAAGGAAAAUCACACAGAAUAAUCACACAUACUCGGACUCCAGGCCCAGGUAAUUAUAUGAACAUGUCAACUCAUUUAAUGACAGCAUGGAGUUUUUACCAGUUAUACGUAAAUAGUGUAUUUGUACAACUGGAAGUGAUUUGCAACAACUUUGACUUAUCAAGAAUACUAACUUUAGCACUGAUAAAUAUUAGUAAAAUGUUGGAUGGGAUUCAGACCACAUUGGUUGGAAUAAACCAGUGUAGGUUUCAGGGGAAGCAGAGGGUUAGCAGCAUAAUAAAAAUUAAGAGCAUUAAAUUCACCUAAAGGGCCAGGCUGACAGCCCUGGAGGCCAAUAUCUUUCCUUUAUUCCCAAAGCAUGUAUAACAUAGGCUUCACACUCAAGUAUUAGUAAGAUUUCCUCUAGUGUUCUUCCAAUAAAUUUAGCCAUUUUCCAUGAAGGAAUGCCUUAUAUAUAUUAAAGAAAAAAGCUUUCACCUCAUAAUUUAAAAUUUAAUCUUAAAAUUUCUUAAUAAAAGAAACAAUUAUUUCCUGGGAUUACGAAAACCUCCACUGUGAGUUUAAAGCACUUGGAGCUCCUUAAAGGCAGAAACUAUGUCUAUAAGACACAUUCCUCACAGAAAGGGCUUGGUCCAAGGUGGGUGUUCUACCUAUGCUUAUUGAGUAAAUUUAUUAGUUAAUAUAAUUUACUAAUUUUUCAGCAUUAAGUUAAAAAAUUUCAAUCAGAAUAAGAGUUCACACAUUUUGUAACUAGUACACAAAGGCCAGACACUGAAGUGCCAAUUAUCUACCCAAAAAUAUGUUGACUGAAACAAUACAAUGUAUAUUUUACAAUGUAAUAUUUUUCCUAUAUGCAAUAGAAGGUUAAAUUCUUUAAAUUUCUAUAUACAAUAUUUCCAUUUACAAUGCCAGUGGCUAAUCUUUCUUGCUUUUUUAUUUAGACCUAUUUCUAUGUGAUUUUUUUCUUAAAGAAUAUGAGGUGUAUUUCCUUUUUCUCUAAAGAGUGCAGCUAUUGGAAUUAGAAAUAUUUUCAAAUUGUCACAUAAACAUGUCUGACAUUCUGCAUUCUAUGAAUCUCAUUGUAUGCACACAGCUUUCAUCCUCCUGUUCUGGACUUUAGGUUAUACCUUCCACAUAAGAUUAAUUACCAUUCCCUGUUUUAUGAACCCAAAGUGCUCUGGGCAAUAUAUCACAGCAAAAAUGAGUUCUAAAGCAGUAUGAUAAAGUAUCUUACCAUCACAGCUUUACAUUAUUUGGGGAUAGAGUGCUCACGACCAGUAUAUUUUUUAUUUCUGCCUACAUUGAUUGAAGUUAAUAUUAGUUAAAAAAAAAAAAAACUCAAGGGACAUUUUAACUUUAAUGGCCCUUAUAUGUGUGGUUAUAGCAGAGUGCAAAACUACUAAAAUGAGUUGUCGUACCAUGGUUUUAUGGUACUAUAACAAUUACCUGGGAAUUGCAUCCAUGAUAGAAAACUCUACAAGUGAUCGAUUAUCUUGUGCUCUUCAGCAGAAAAGCACUAAAUGAAUAUAUAAAUAAUUGUAUCAAUGUAUGAAAUCAUUGGUAGCCAGUUGACAAAUGCUCGAGCUGCAAAAAGCACAAACCAACUAGAAAUAACACCACUUAUUACCCAUUCUAGCAAGGUCAACAAUUGGAAGUAUUUUGGUAGAAAAGUUAAGUUUCUGUUUUCUUCCAACUAAAGAAGAUAAUUUGUAGUACUCAGACCCUGAGGGUGCUAAAGUCAAGCUGUAGCUAAUUUGGAGUUUUAAAGAUGCGAGAGCGUCCCCUGCUUAUUUCAUACCAUUUCCCCACUUUGAAAGAGUUCUUAAGCAAAUGUUUACCUUGUCAUCAUGUGUAACUUGGGCAAUAUGUUCUGAGUAUUAUGGGGUUAUGUGCUCCCCACUGUGGGUUUUUCACAAAACUUCCUCUAGUUGCUGUGCAAAGCAAGUUACUGUGAAGGUUCUCCAAGGUUCUGGUUGAUUUGUGUUUGGAAUAAGUCUUUUGUUGUUACUUGCUCUCUGACAGAGGGACUGGAAAUUAUCUGGACUUUGGAAGAGACUUUGUGAUAUUUGGAUAAUGUUCUCAAAGUGAGUAGUAUAUUAGCAUGUGGUUUACUUAUGCAAAACAAGUCAAAAGAUGAAUUUAAAAUAU
rnacentral:lncRNA from 1 species